GAUGAGCGCUGGCGGCGUGCCUAAUACAUGCAAGUCGAGCGAACAGAUGAGGAGCUUGCUCCUCUGACGUUAGCGGCGGACGGGUGAGUAACACGUGGAUAACCUACCUAUAAGACUGGGAUAACUUCGGGAAACCGGAUCUAAUACCGUAUAAUAUAUUGAACCGCAUGGUUCAAUAGUGAAAGACGGUUUUGCUGUCACUUAUAGAUGGAUCCGCGCCGCAUUAGCUAGUUGGUAAGGUAACGGCUUACCAAGGCAACGAUGCGUAGCCGACCUGAGAGGGUGAUCGGCCACACUGGAACUGAGACACGGUCCAGACUCCUACGGGAGGCAGCAGUAGGGAAUCUUCCGCAAUGGGCGAAAGCCUGACGGAGCAACGCCGCGUGAGUGAUGAAGGUCUUCGGAUCGUAAAACUCUGUUAUUAGGGAAGAACAAAUGUGUAAGUAACUAUGCACGUAUUGACGGUAACUAAUCAGAAAGCCACGGCUAACUACGUG
rnacentral:rRNA from 1 species